UUUCUCACUACAGUGGAACACAUACUAAAAUUGGAAUGAUACAGAGAAGGUUAGCAUGUACAAAGAUGACACACAAAUUUGUAAAGCACUCCACGUUCGU
rnacentral:snRNA from 1 species